GGAGGAGGCAUCCAAAGGGAUCGCAUUGAUCCCAAUCCAUCCAUGGAAACUCUAUUCGGAUUUCACAAAGGGUGAGAGGGAAAUUAAGAUAUUCCGAAAAAAAAAAAAAAGCGGAAUUAAAUCGACUUGGGAUCAUGCUAUCCCUUUGGAUACCUCCUU
rfam:Punica granatum cultivar Dabenzi scaffold586, whole genome shotgun sequence.